AUCAAAAAGCGGAGGAAAAGAAACCAACCGGGAUUGCCUUAGUAACGGCGAGUGAAGCGGCAAAAGCUCAAAUUUGAAAUCUGGUACCUUCGGUGCCCGAGUUGUAAUUUGGAGAGGGCAACUUUGGGGCCGUUCCUUGUCUAUGUUCCUUGGAACAGGACGUCAUAGAGGGUGAGAAUCCCGUGUGGCGAGGAGUGCGGUUCUUUGUAAAGUGCCUUCGAAGAGUCGAGUUGUUUGGGAAUGCAGCUCUAAGUGGGUGGUAAAUUCCAUCUAAAGCUAAAUAUUGGCGAGAGACCGAUAGCGAACAAGUACAGUGAUGGAAAGAUGAAAAGAACUUUGAAAAGAGAGUGAAAAAGUACGUGAAAUUGUUGAAAGGGAAGGGCAUUUGAUCAGACAUGGUGUUUUGUGCCCUCUGCUCCUUGUGGGUAGGGGAAUCUCGCAUUUCACUGGGCCAGCAUCAGUUUUGGUGGCAGGAUAAAUCCAUAGGAAUGUAGCUUGCCUCGGUAAGUAUUAUAGCCUGUGGGAAUACUGCCAGCUGGGACUGAGGACUGCGACGUAAGUCAAGGAUGCUGGCAUAAUGGUUAUAUGCCGCCCGUCUUGAAACACG
rnacentral:rRNA from 1 species